GGUAUUCUGACUGUGCUAAGGUAGCAUAAUCAUUUGCUACUUAAUUGGUAGCUGGAAUGAAAGGUUAAACUAGCUUACUCAGUUUGUUGUGUUUUGUAAGAAAUUAAAGUCGAGGUAAGAAUUCUUUGAUCUGCUAGGGGACGAUAAGACCCUAGAAGCUUAACAAUAAGAGUAUUUAUUAGUUAUAAAAAUUAAUUUGUUUUACUGGGGCGGUAGAGGUAUAUGAACUAUUAGCGUAUUGAUAGAUCCUUAAAAUAAAGAUAAAACGGGAAAGUUACUCUAGGGGUAACAGUGCAAUAUUUUUGGAGAGAUCAUAUCGAUAAAAAUGUUUGCAACCUCGAUGUUGAAUUAAGAUGUCUACGUGAAGCAGUAGGUACGUGAGAGGGUUUGUUCAACCUUUAAAUUUUUACAUGAUCUGAGUUCAAACCGG
rnacentral:rRNA from 1 species